CCUACGGGAGGCAGCAGUGGGAAUUUUGGACAAUGGGCGCAAGCCUGAUCCAGCCAUGCCGCGUGAGUGAAGAAGGCCUUCGGGUUGGUAAAGGCUUUUUCAGUUGGGAAGAAACGAUUACAACUAAUAAUUGUAAUUAAUGACGGUACCAUCAGAAUAAGCACCGGCUAACUCCGUGCCAGCAGCCGCGGUAAUACGGAGGGUGCAAGCGUUAUCCGGAAUCACUGGGUUUAAAGGGUGCGUAGGCGGUUGUAUAAGUCAGGGGUGAAAGGAUGCAGCUUAACUGUAUAAUUGCCUUUGAUACUGUAUGACUUGAAUAAGGUUGAGGUUGGCGGAAUGUGACAUGUAGCGGUGAAAUGCUUAGAUAUGUCAUGGAACACCGAUUGCGAAGGCAGCUGACUGGGCCUUUAUUGACGCUGAGGCACGAAAGCGUGGGUAGCGAACAGGAUUAGAUACCCUGGUAGUCCACGCCCUAAACGAUGUAUACUCGUUGUUUGAGAGUAAUUUUGAGCGACCAAGCGAAAGCGUUAAGUAUACCACCUGGGGAGUACGCCCGCAAGGGU
rnacentral:rRNA from 1 species